rnacentral:misc_RNA from 1 species
CCAGGAGUCUCACAACUCUCCACCCUUGUGUGUACCAGUAGUCUUGGUUGCUUCGGCGGCGCGCCGGCCCAGCGCCGGCCGCCGCCGGGGGGACUCUUAAUAAACGCUUGCGAAAUCGGAAUGUCUGAGUAUACAAACAAAUAGUUA